rnacentral:rRNA from 1 species
AUACGUAGGUGGCGAGCGUUAUCCGGAAUUACUGGGUGUAAAGGGCGCGUAGGCGGGUAUGCAAGUUGGAUGUGAAAUUCCGGGGCUUAACUCCGGAUUGUCAUCUAAAACUGUGUAUCUUGAGUGUCAGAGGGGAAAGUGGAAUUCCUAGUGGAGUGGUAAAAUGCGUAGAUAUUAGGAGGAACAUCGGUGGCGAAGGCGACUUUCUGGCUGACAACUGACGCUGAGGCGCGAAAGCGUGGGUAGCGAACAGGAUUAGAUACCCUGGUAGUCCACGCAGUAAACGAUGAUUACUUGCUGUUUGCGAUACACUGUAAGCGGCGUAGCGAAAGCGUUAAGUAAUCCACCUGGGGAGUACGUUCGCAAGAAUGAA